GUUAGUAUAGCUUAUUUAAAGCACAGCACUGAAAAUGCUAAGAAAGAUUUUAAUAAUCUUACAAACA
rnacentral:tRNA from 1 species